UACGUAGGGUGCAAGCGUUGUCCGGAAUUAUUGGGCGUAAAGAGCUCGUAGGCGGUCUGUCGCGUCGGAUGUGAAAAUCCAGGGCUUAACCCUGGGCCUGCAUUCGAUACGGGCAGACUAGAGUUCGGUAGGGGAGACUGGAAUUCCUGGUGUAGCGGUGAAAUGCGUAGAUAUCUGGAGGAACACCGGUGGCGAAGGCGGCAUCCUGGACCAACACUGACGCUGAGGAGCGAAAGCCAGGGGAGCAAACGGG
rnacentral:rRNA from 1 species